rnacentral:rRNA from 1 species
AUUGAACGCUGGCGGCAGGCCUAACACAUGCAAGUCGAGCGGAGCGGCGGACGGGUGCGUAAUGCCUAGGAAUCUGCCUGGUAGUGGGGGAGAACGUCAGGCAAAGGGAGCCAAUACCGCAUACUAUCAGAUGAGCCUAGGUCGGAUUAGCUAGUUGGUGGGGUAAAGGCCUAUCAAGGCGACGGUCCGUAACUGGUUUGAGCGGAUGCUCAGUCACACUGGAACUGAGACACGGUCCAGACUCCUACGGGAGGCAGCAGUGGGGAAUAUUGGACAAUGGGCGAAAGCCUGAUCCAGCCAUGCCGCGUGUAUGAAGAAGGUCUUCGGAUUGUAAAGCACUUUAAGUUGGGAGGCGUUACCAACAGAAUAAGCACCGGCUAACUUCGUGCCAGCAGCCGCGGUAAUUC